UUGGACCUUAAAGCUGGCUUUCACCAAAUCAGACUAGCUCCAGGAGAAGAAUAUAAAACUGCCUUUCAAACACACCAUGGCCACUUUGAAUUUCUUGUGGUUGCCAUGGGUUUAACAGGGGCCCCAGCAACAUUCCAAGGGACAAUGAACUUUGAUCUUUCUCCUCUUCUCAGGAAGUGUGUGUUGUGUUUCUUUGAUGAUAUAUUAGUUUUCAGCAAAACUUUCAAAGAACAUUUGGAGCAUGUUGCACAAGUACUGGCCAUACUGAAAGAAAAGGAAUGGAAAGUUAAAAUGUCCAAGUGUGCAUUUUCUCAGCAG
rnacentral:rRNA from 1 species